rnacentral:misc_RNA from 1 species
AAGUCGUAACAAGGUUUCCGUAGGUGAACCUGCGGAAGGAUCAUUAUCGAGUUUUGAACGGGUUGUAGCUGGCCUCUCACGAGGCAUGUGCACGCCUGGCUCAUCCACUCUUAACCUCUGUGCACUUUAUGUAAGAGAAAAAAAUGGUGGAAGCUUCCAGGAUCUCGCGAGAGGUCUUUGGUUGAACAAGCCGUUUUUCUUUCUUAUGUUUUACUACAAACGCUUCAGUUAUAGAAUGUCAACUGUGUAUAACACAUUUAUAUACAACUUUCAGCAACGGAUCUCUUGGCUCUC